rnacentral:lncRNA from 1 species
CCUCAUUAAUUUACUUACUCAUUCAGUCAACAAAUAUCUUCCCUCUCUGAGCCUAAGAACCUAAUUUGUAAAAUGGGGAUGUUAACGUCUAAACUCUGCCUUUGGGCACUAAGUGAGAGGCUGGCAAGACAAUGGUAGAGAAAGUAGGUUGUUUUCUUUUUUUCAUUUUCUGUUUUUUUUUUUUUUUUUUUUUUGAGACAGAGUUUCACUCUAUGGCCCAGGCUGGAGUGCAAUGGUGCGAUCUCGGCUCACUGCAACCU